rnacentral:rRNA from 1 species
GAUGAACGCUAGCUACAGGCUUAACACAUGCAAGUCGAGGGGCAGCAUGAACAAAGCUUGCUUUGUUUGAUGGCGACCGGCGCACGGGUGCGUAACACGUAUCCAAUCUGCCCGCGGCUCGGGGAUAGCCUAUCGAAAGAUGGAUUAAUACCCGAUGGCGUGGUCACCCCGCAUGGGGUUUCCACUAAAGGUUUUCCGGCCGCGGAUGAGGAUGCGUAUGAUUAGGUAGUAGGCGGGGUAACGGCCCACCUAGCCUUCGAUCAUUAGGGGUUCUGAGAGGAAGGUCCCCCACACUGGAACUGAGACACGGUCCAGACUCCUACGGGAGGCAGCAGUGAGGAAUUUUGGACAAUGGGGGCAACCCUGAUCCAGCCAUUCCGCGUGAGUGAAGAAGGCCUUCGGGUUGUAAAGCUCUUUCGCAAGGGAAGAAACGAUACUGGUGAAUAUCCAGUGUUAAUGACGGUACCUUGAUAAGAAGCACCGGCUAACUACGUGCCAGCCGCCGCAGUAAAAC